UCGGCCGUUAGCUCAGCAGGGUAGAGCGCGGCGUGCGAAAUGCCGAGGUCGAAGGUUCGAGUCCUUCCCGGCCGAC
rnacentral:tRNA from 1 species